rnacentral:rRNA from 1 species
CCUACGGGAGGCAGCAGUGGGGAAUAUUGGGCAAUGGGCGCAAGCCUGACCCAGCAACGCCGCGUGAAGGAAGAAGGCUUUCGGGUUGUAAACUUCUUUUGUCAGGGACGAAGCAAGUGACGGUACAUGAAGAAUAAGACACGGCUAACUACGUGCCAGCCGCCGCGGUAAUACGUAGGUGGCAAGCGUUAUCCGGCUUUACUGGGUGUAAAGGGCGUGUAGGCGGGGAAGAAAGUCAGAUGUGAAAACCACGGGCUAAACCUGUGGCCUGCAUUUGAAACUGUUUUUCUUGAGUGCUGGAGAGGCAAGCGGAAUUCCGGGUGUAGCGGUGAAAUGCGUAGAUAUACGGAGGAACACCAGUGGCGAAGGCGGAUUGCUGGACAGUAACUGACGCUGAGGCGCGAAAGCGUGGGGAGCAAACAGGAUUAGAUACCCGAGUAGUC